AUACUUACCUUGUUUGGGUGACCGUGAUCAAAAAGAUGUGUCACCACAGGCUGGUCCCUGCAUUGCACAGCGCGGUGGAACAGUCUGUUCAAUGGCCUUCGGGUCAUUGACAGGCGUAUUCUUUGGCACUUCCAUCUGUGGAAAC
rnacentral:snRNA from 17 species